rnacentral:rRNA from 1 species
CCAAAUGGGUGGUAAACAUCACCUAAGGCUAAAUAUUGGCGAGAGACCGAUAGCGAACAAGUACCGUGAGGGAGAGAUGAAAAGAACUUUGAAAAGAGAGUUAAACAGUACGUGAAAUUGUUGAAAGGGAAACGAUUGAAGUCAGUCGUGCUGGCGCGAAAUCAACCCUCUCAUCGGGAGACCCAUGUUGUGGCGAGCCUCAAAACCGCCACAGCAUGUGUCUCACGAUGAGGGGGAGCACUUUCGUGUCUGCUGGUUAACAUCAAUUUCGAACGUCAUAAAAAGGCUGGAGGGAUGUGGCUCCUUCGGGAGUGUUAUAACCUUUAGCGGAAUGUGGUGGUCGGGAUUGAGGAUUGCAACGAAUACCUUUAGGGCUGUUCCACCUGGCUUCUCUUUGGUAUCCUGGUGACGACAGCUUGCUGACUUUGUUAGGAUUCGCCUUUGAACAGGCUAGAGUGUGAGCAAA